rnacentral:rRNA from 1 species
UACGUAGGGGGCAAGCGUUGUCCGGAAUCAUUGGGCGUAAAGCGCGUGUAGGCGGCUUGGUAAGUCUGCUCUGAAAGCCCGGGGCUCAACCCUGGGAGGCGGGUGGAUACUGCUGAGCUCGAGUCCGGAAGAGGCGAGUGGAAUUCCUGGUGUAGCGGUGAAAUGCGCAGAUAUCAGGAAGAACACCAAUGGCGAAGGCAGCUCUCUGGGACGGUACUGACGCUGAGACGCGAAAGCGUGGGGAGCGAACAGG